GCAGACACAUUCCAACCAAUCAGCAGCAGACCCUCCCUCCCAGACCUUCCCACCUCCUGGACAGCAUCCAUUUUACAUUCAUUGUGAAGCUGCAUUCUUAGUGAGCUGUCCAGGAGGUGGGAGGGUCUGGGAGGGAGGGUCUGCUGCUGAUUGGCUGGAAUGUGUCUG